UGCUUAAGAGUUUUGCGGAAUUGUGAAC
rnacentral:piRNA from 1 species